rnacentral:tRNA from 1 species
GAUAGGGUGGCUGAAAUUUAGGUAAUAAAUUGUAAAUUUAUUUAUGGUAUUAAUAUAUCCUCUAUCA